rnacentral:rRNA from 1 species
GACGAACGCUGGCGGCGUGCUUAACACAUGCAAGUCGAACGGAAAGGCCCUGCUUUUGUGGGGUGCUCGAGUGGCGAACGGGUGAGUAACACGUGAGUAACCUGCCCUUGACUUUGGGAUAACUUCAGGAAACUGGGGCUAAUACCGGAUAGGAGCUCCUGCUGCAUGGUGGGGGUUGGAAAGUUUCGGCGGUUGGGGAUGGACUCGCGGCUUAUCAGCUUGUUGGUGGGGUAGUGGCUUACCAAGGCUUUGACGGGUAGCCGGCCUGAGAGGGUGACCGGCCACAUUGGGACUGAGAUACGGCCCAGACUCCUACGGGAGGCAGCAGUGGGGAAUAUUGCACAAUGGGCGGAAGCCUGAUGCAGCAACGCCGCGUGCGGGAUGACGGCCUUCGGGUUGUAAACCGCUUUCGCCUGUGACGAAGCGUGAGUGACGGUAAUGGGUAAAGAAGCACCGGCUAACUACGUGCCAGCAGCCGCGGUGAUACGUAGGGUGCGAGCGUUGUCCGGAUUUAUUGGGCGUAAAGGGCUCGUAGGUGGUUGAUCGCGUCGGAAGUGUAAUCUUGGGGCUUAACCCUGAGCGUGCUUUCGAUACGGGUUGACUUGAGGAGGUAGGGGAGAAUGGAAUUCCUGGUGGAGCGGUGGAAUGCGCAGAUAUCAGAGGAACACCAGUGGCGAAGGCGGUUCUCUGGGCCUUCCCUGACGCUGAGGAGCGAAAGCGUGGGGAGCGAACAGGCUUAGAUACCCUGGUAGUCCACGCUGUAAACGGUGGGUACUAGGUGUGGGGUCCAUUCCACGGGUUCCGUGCCGUAGCUAACGCUUUAAGUACCCCGCCUGGGGAGUACGGCCGCAAGGCUAAGACUCAAAGGAAUUGACGGGGCCCCGCACAAGCGGCGGAGCAUGCGGAUUAAUUCGAUGCAACGCGUAGAACCUUACCUGGGUUUGACAUGGAUCGGGAGUGCUCAGAGAUGGGUGUGCCUCUUUUGGGGUCGGUUCACAGGUGGUGCAUGCCUGUCGUCAGCUCGUGUCGUGAGAUGUUGGGUUAAGUCCCGCAACGAGCGCAACCCUUGUUCACUGUUGCCAGCACGUUAUGGUGGGGACUCAGUGGAGACCGCCGGGGUCAACUCGGAGGAAGGUGGGGAUGACGUCAAGUCAUCAUGCCCCUUAUGUCCAGGGCUUCACGCAUGCUACAAUGGCUGGUACAGAGAGUGGCGAGCCUGUGAGGGUGAGCGAAUCUCGGAAAGCCGGUCUCAGUUCGGAUUGGGGUCUGCAACUCGACCUCAUGAAGUCGGAGUCGCUAGUAAUCGCAGAUCAGCAACGCUGCGGUGAAUACGUUCCCGGGGCU